rnacentral:rRNA from 1 species
CUUGGUCAUUUAGAGGAAGUAAAAGUCGUAACAAGGUUUCCGUAGGUGAACCUGCGGAAGGAUCAUUAACGCGCCGUGAAGGUCAACCUUAAUGGGUAUGAUCUUUCACCUGGCCCACCCUUGUUUAUAUUUAACUGUUGCUUUGGUGAGCCUGCUAUUAUGGCUGCCGGGGAAUUUACAUUUCCGGGCUCGUGUUCACCAGAGUCUUUAGCGAACUCUGUGUUUGAUUUUAGCUGUCUGAGAAUAAAAAAGAAAUUACUUUUAAAACUUUCAACAACGAAUCUCUUGGUUCUGGCAUCGAUGAAGAACGCAGCGAAAUGCGAUAAGUAAUGUGAAUUGCAGAAUUCCGUGAAUCAUCGAAUCUUUGAACGCAUAUUGCGCCCUCUGGUAUUCCGGAGGGCAUGCCUGUCCGAGCGUCAUUAUCACAUAUCAAGCUCUAAGCUUGUUUUGAGCCAUCUUGUUCUUUUGAUGAACAGGCUUGAAAUGCAAGUGGCGAUAUGCAGUUUGGUGCCUAGCAUUAUGGGGCUCUGUCACAUGCUUUAGUGGCCCAGACUGGUAUAUUCAGCCUUUUUUACAAAUUAGAUUCAAAAGAGAUUGACCUCGGAUCAGGCAAGAAUACCCGCUGAACUUAAGCAUAUCAAUAAGCGGAGGA